GUCAACAUGAUGUAGUGGUUUGAGUGUUGGACUGUGGCUCUGGAGACCAGGGUUUGAAUCCCUGAUUAGCCA